rnacentral:rRNA from 1 species
GACGAACGCUGGCGGCGUGCUUAACACAUGCAAGUCGAACGGAGUGGCGAACGGGUGAGUAACACGUGGGUGACCUGCCCUGCACUUCGGGAUAAGCCUGGGAAACUGGGUCUAAUACCGGAUAGUGUGGGAUGGGCGCGCGGCCUAUCCGCUUGUUGGGGGGGUAAUGGCAUACCAAGGGGGCGGCGGGUAGCCGGCCUGGGAGGGGGGACGGCCACCUUGGGACUGCGACACGGACCAGACGCCUACGGGAGGCAGCGGUGGGGAAUAUUGCCCAAUGGGGGGAAGCCUGAUGCAGCGACUCCGCGUGGGGGAUGACGGCCUUCGGGUUGUAAACUCCUUUCACCAUCGACGCGGUAGAUGGAGAAGAAGCACCGGCUAACUACGUGCCAGCAGCCGCGGUAAUAC